GCCGAGGUUCAUGCAGGUGUGGCAGGAUUAAUUGGCUCAGGUGCUGUAGGGCAGAGGAUUACUAGCAGUGGCCUCAUGGGGCGCUAUAAAGGGCAAAGAAGCCUUCACUCGGCCAGGGGCAGCAUUUGGCCAUUGGAACCGCCCACUUCCUGUUUUCACACCUCCGGCUAGCCUCACAGGUAAAGUAGCGGUGGUAGGCUAAGGACAAGAGUUUGUUCGCUGCCUCAUAUUAACACACUCUUUCAGCUCCGGAUGAGACCUGCAGGCACAGAUUGAGCAAAAUACAGCCUCUGCCAUCGAGCGCGCCUCCCAGGUGACGAACAGUCUGUCUGCGCCGGGGACUUUCUGACGCUCCCACCUGCUGAACAGCUGCUGCUUUUUAUAUAUUGAAUUUUAGAAUUAUUUUAAGGAACUGUCACCGCUCGUGAUCAGAAUCCCUGUAGACUCCUGACCAGGGUUCUGCCGGGCCCGGGUGCUCCUCAGCUGCCUUUGAGCCUGAGCAACGGAGGACUAACGGGGCGUCACGCCUGAAUCCUCCACCAACGAGAAUAAAAGCUCGGCCGCGCUCCGUUCAUUGAGCAGCACCCUACGGGCGGACUUACUCUCACGAGAGUUUCUUUUAUUUUGUUUUUAGCAUUUUUACACAAUUCUUUUAGACCUGUGUUUUAACUGGAUUUUAUUGUGUGAUCCACCUUUGUUUCCCCCCUCCCUCAGUGCUGAGGACUCAGGUGCCAGCCCAGAAUUCUAAGUGGAGGCUAUCCCCCCCAGUUUGGAGUGACGUGUCCUUGGGUGAAGGUUUCACAGUGUGUGUGUGGUCUGCAUCACAAGCAGCAGCUGGUUCCGCUUGGAAGUGAGGAAGGUGAUUUGUGCAAGUGCUGAGGACUCAGGUGCCAGCCCAGAAUUCUAGGUGGAGGCUAUCCCCCCAGUUUGGAGUGACGUGUCCUUGGGUGAAGGUUUCACAGUGUGUGUGUGGUCUGCAUCACAAAAAUAAACUCCCUCGGGACCACACAGGCGACUCACCGUGACGAUGGCCUUCCCCACCGUCCCCCCGGGUCUGAGCAGAGCUUUGGACAGUUUCCUCUGCGAGAUGAUCUGCAAACACAGACAAACCUGCUGAACAAACGUCUGCAGGUUCACAACUUACAGUCCUGACCCGAAGCUCCAGCAGAGUCAGAGCUGAGGUGGAAGAGACGCCAUCUGCCAAAGAUCUGUGCACAUCCCAAAGUAAAGCUCGACGCCUAAUUCUUUUGAAGUGGAAGGAUGUCGCCCCCCCCACAGUGACGCAUUAGGGACGUGCUGCACCAUCUCAAAUUAGAAAAAAAUCAUUAUACUGUGAGAAAGAACAUUCGUUGAGACAUGGAGGCCUUUCCUGGACUUUGUCGAUCAGCCGUCUACAAAUGUUCAGGAUUAACUUUGGUUUUAUGCACAGGUGACUGAUUUUGUUGUACCUUCUGUGUGUGCGGCUAACUUCUCUUUCCUUUUUCUUUUCAUGUGAGUUUAUUUGACAGCAGGUUUGGAGUUUGGUUUUUUUCUUUUUUGUUAUUAUUUUUCCGGUUUGUGUAAUAUAUUUGUAAAACCAAAUAAACAAAUUAAACACUAUAUUCUGGUCCA